UCAUAUUCACAUUAAAAAUUUUGGUCCCUCCUUUGACGACUUCAAUAAUUUUUAAUUUCGGUCAUAUCUUUGGUAUUUUCUGUGAACGUUUGUAAUUUCGGACAUUAUAUGUAACAAUCCUACUAUUCAUUCCACAAUGAAGGCCAGUGGGCCUAGAUUUUUAAUUUGAUACACGUAUAAACUUAACACUGCGCAAGUUAUGUCACGGAAUGCAGUAUAGGGGAGGAGAAAAUAUUUGGCUGGACCAGGAGUCAAACCUAGGAUCCCUGCAUUACUAGUCAGGUGCUCUAACCACUGAGCUAUCCAGGUCGAUAUCCACGGUCCGUGUAGCCCUAACUACUAAAUUCCUCCCUUUAAUUUGUCUUUGCCGUCGAAGACACACAACCCAAGAUUCAUUUCACCCCUGGCAGGACAAGAGUAGUCACGGCACCAACUGGUAAAAUCUUGCACAGAGGUCCCUGGGUUCAAUUCCCGAUCCAGCCACAAAUUUUCUCCGUGUAUGUCUAUCUGAGACUGAGUUGGAAAAUUACGGUAUCUUCAUAGUGACAAACUAAUGAAAAUAUUGAUCAAAUUCGACUGGUCAAGGACUGUUAAUAUAAAUAAAUUUGAAACAUUGGUCAUUGUAAUGAUUGGUUUCAUGUUAUACUAAGCUUGUGUUUCAAGACAAGGCUGUCUUUGUUGGUGAUGAUACUGAUGUAUAUAUUUAGAAACAAGUAAUGCUUUGAUUUUGAUUACAGGUGUGGUCUUUAAAAAAAUUAAUGCAUGGCAAGGUUGAUAGUGAGACUAAUAAAUUCUUUCAGCAGAAUUCAGCUAGACACACAAAAAAAGACAAUCACUACAGCCUUCCAAGAAGAUGGACUGCCUCACAAUAGUUUCCUUGAGGACUGUCUUGAAAUAUCCAGAGUUUAAGAUUCAAGAAACGGACUCUAUCUGGAAAAGGAAAACAAUAUCAAAGCUCCUCUGAGAGAAGUUGGCCAAGGAAAGCAUUUAGAAGAAAGUGGAGAUUCAUUGUUUUUACCAGAUCCAGCAGAUCACAGAAAGCAUCUAGUAGGGGAGGUCUACAGAUCGAAGCAUGCCAAACGUGUAAAGAACAAGUUUCCAGGAUUAAGCCAGCCAGUAGAUGAGACUAUUAUAUCAAAAAUACAUUUACUUGUACACGAGGGCACACAAAGCGUUGAUGAAACAAAAAGACAUUUCCGUCUGUUUGUAAAGGAUACUAUUUCACCAGGGAACACCAUCUCAGAAUUUAACAGAUGCUUUUACCCCGCCAAUAAGGAUGUAAGAAAUCACAUUUACAGGGCACCGAGAUUUUGCCAGGUAGUUUAGAACUGUGUGCAUUGGUUUUGGAAGAAUUUGGACUGUUUAGGCUAAAAUCCAUUAUGAUUGGACAGAAUAUGAACACACACAUCCAAUACUUCAAAGAUAUUAUGUUUGUGGAGGCAGAGAUUUUGAUUGCAUCCACUGUUUAGAAUACAUCCUUAAGGGAAGCAGACUGCCGCCUUUACCCAAUGAUAUAAUGAUUAAUCAUAACUAUAUCUGUUUUGUACCAAAUAGAAAGACCAUUGAUUCAGGUCAUUUUCAAAUCCACUGGCAUACAUUGUACUAUACAUGCAACCUUUUCAAACUUUACAUUUAAGAUUUUGUAAAGGAAAUAUCUUAAUGUUUCACAUGUUUACCUUUCACUGUGCUAUGUAAUUCAUUAUACCUGCCAUUAUUCCAGUCUUCCUGAACAUAAUUUGUUUUCUGCAAUUUCAUUGGCCAAGAGGCUUAAUCCUGGGUUAUCAGAUUGAGCAUUUAUAUUUAGUAUCCCAUUGAUUUUGUCAGCCCUAUAUAAGGAGCUGACUCAGAUUUACUCACUCUGCUAGGUUAAAGAACUCUAAGGUUUGUACUUUUCACAUGAAUUUCGUGUUCGCCUCUUAUCUUUUACAUAGAGUAGGAAAUGAACAUAACAUUGAGUUAGGGAACAAUUUAGAUUUUACAUUAUAAUAUGUAAAUACCUUAGCAGAGUCAAUUUACUUGGUUCAGGGUAGUAUCAGAUAUUACUUUUUCAGAGUUUAAGUGUUUAGGCUAUCUCAAUGUUUCUAUAGUUAGCCUUGUCCUAUGUUACUUUUAGAUGUAUGGAAGCCUUUUAGUGUUAUAACACUAUAUUUAUGCUCCCAUUCAAAGAAGAGGGGCAUAUUGGUUUGCACCUGUUGGUCGGUCGGUAGACCACAUGUUGUCCGCUUAAUAUCUUAAGAACCAUUCACUUGAUCGUAACAUAUUUCAUAUGUGGGUUGGUUAUGAAAAGAAGAGGACCCCAAUUGUUUUUCGGGUCGAAAUGUCAAGGGUCAAUCUACUCUGGACAUAGGAAGACACUGCCUGCUCAAUAUCUUGAGAACCCUUUGCUUGACAGACAUCAAACUUGGUACACUGGUACAUCUCAAGGAGUAGAUUUGAGGUCACAUGGUCAGAAGUCAAGGGGUAAACUGGACAUAGUAAUAUAUUGUCUCUUAUGUUUUAAGAAUUAUUUGCUUGAUUGACACCAAACCUGGUACAGCAUAAGGAGUAGAUGACCCCUAUUGAUUUUUAGGUCACUUGGUCAAUCCACUCCUGACAUAGGAAGAUAUUGUUUGCUCAAUAUUUCGAAUUGAUGAUACUACUAUCAAUCAAAUUAUGCAUGUGUAUAACCCUUUUCAAUUUUGCACCAUGGGGGCUUAUAUGUUUUACAAACACCUCAUGUUUUAUAGUUUGUGAAAGCUUGUUAGGGUCAUAACUUUAGAUUUUCUUAUUAUGGUACUUGCCCGUCAGAGACUGGACAUAUUAUGGUAUGUUGUUGUCUGUCCGGACCUUGUAAGAUGGGAUACAGACUGAACCGUAAGCUCCAGAAUCUUACAACUUGGUACAUUUGAUCACCAUAAAAGGAAGAUGCUUAUUGUUUUUUAAGGUCAAGGUUGUAGGUUCACUUAAUAGGAAAACCUUGUUUGAGAAAAUUACAGAUUCUUGAACUGAGUAUUUUGAGGAAACAUUACAUAGAAAGUACAUGAUUUGUCAAAUUUCUCCCAAUAUUCAACUGAGAACCUUAUUCUGCAGAGUAUUUGUAUGGGUAUGGAAAAUGUGUAUGUGGUUAUGAUUUUGAUUUUUGUUUAAUUUUUUUUGUUGUUGAAAAUUACAGGUUUAACCGAGUCAGUUUUUGAGGAAAUAUACAUGUAUUAAAUAAAUGACGGUUGACCUUUUAACUCAUCUCACAGUUUUGAAGCUAGGGUCUUUGUAAAUAACUUCUUUGGUGUUUUAGAAUAUUUACAGAUUGUUGAUCAUGGUCAAUUUUGGGGAAAUAUUUUCCGCAGAGCUCUAGUUGUCUAUCUACCGGCCUCCUGUCACUUUUAAGUUUAGGAGCUUUUAUUCAUGGAAAGAAAGUAUGUGACAGCCUGAUGAUGGCUGAUACUAUUUAAAGCCUUUUUAUACGCCCGUCUUAAGACGUUCCAUAUUAUGGUAUGGCGUUCAUGUCCGUCCGUCUGUUAGCUUUUUCGUGUCCGACCCGUAACUUAAAUACUACAAGGCCUAGAAUCAUCACACUUUGUCUGUAGAUACAUCUUGGGUAGAAGGUGUGUCGCACAUUAAAACCAGGUCACUGUGACUUUUCAUUAAGAAGAUAUCCGUCUGUCCGUCCGUCUGUUAGCUUUUUCGUGUCCGACCCGUAACUUAAAUACUACAAGGCCUAGAAUCAUCAAACUUUGUCUGUAGAUACAUCUUGGGUAGAAGGUGUGUCGCACAUUAAAACCAGGUCACUGUGACUUUUCAUUAAGAAGAUAUGGCCAUAUAUGGCAAAAACUUGUCCGGCUCAUAACUUGAAAACUAUUAGACCUAGAAUCACCAAAAUUGGUCAACUAAUGCAUCUUAGGUAGAAGGUGUGUUGCAUCCUACUUUAAGGUCACUGUGACUUUUAAUUAAGGUGAUAUAAAAAAAAAUGUUUUAAUGGGUACAAUCUAUACUGUUAACAAUAUGUGACGGGCGUAUCAUGUGCCGUGACGUUGCACUUUAUUCUAGAAAUGGCAUCAGAAAAACACCCUAUGUAACCUUUUCUGCUUGUACUCAUUUAUUUUUAUUGGAAAACUUAUUACUUGUUAUCAGCUACUCUAAAACAAUAUUGACUUGUGCUAUAAUAAAUUUGUAAAC